rnacentral:tRNA from 1 species
GCGCCGAUAGUAUAGCGGUAGUACAUUAGCCUUCCAAGCUAAUUGCCGGGGUUCGAAUCCCCGUCGGCGCA